rfam:Ictidomys tridecemlineatus contig111894, whole genome shotgun sequence.
GUGGCUGUGGCUCAGUGGUAGAGCACUUGCCUAGCAUGUAUGAGGCCCUGGGUUUGAGUCUCAGUACCGCA